AGAGCGAACGCUGGCGGCAGGCUUAACACAUGCAAGUCGAGCGCCCCGCAAGGGGAGCGGCAGACGGGAGAGUAACACGUGGGAACGUACCUUUCGGUUCGGAACAACCCAGGGAAACUUGGGCUAAUACCGGAUACGUCCGUAAGGAGAAAGAUUUAUCGCCGAAAGAUCGGCCCGCGUCUGAUUAGCUAGUUGGUGAGGUAACGGCUCACCAAGGCGACGAUCAGUAGCUGGUCUGAGAGGAUGAUCAGCCUCACUGGGACUGAGACACGGCCCAGACUCCUACGGGAGGCAGCAGUGGGGAAUAUUGGACAAUGGGCGCAAGCCUGAUCCAGCCAUGCCGCGUGGGUGAUGAAGGCCCUAGGGUUGUAAAGCCCUUUCGGCGGGGAAGAUAAUGACGGUACCCGCAGAAGAAGCCCGGCUAACUUCGCGCCAGCAGCCGC
rnacentral:rRNA from 1 species